GGGGCUUCGGCCCUGAGUAGAGUGGCGAACGGGUGAGUAACACGUGGGUGACCUACCUUCGAGUGGGGGAUAACGUCCCGAAAGGGACGCUAAUACCGCAUCACAUCCUGCCUUUGAACAGGCGGAGAUCAAAGCCGGGGAUCGCAAGACCUGGCGCUUGAAGAGGGGCCCGCGUCCGAUUAGCUAGUUGGUGAGGUAAUGGCUCACCAAGGCAACGAUCGGUAGCCGGCCUGAGAGGGCGGACGGCCACACUGGGACUGAGACACGGCCCAGACUCCUACGGGAGGCAGCAGUGGGGAAUUGUUCACAAUGGGCGCAAGCCUGAUGACGCAACGCCGCGUGGAGGAUGAAGGUCUUCGGAUUGUAAACUCCUGUUGCCCGGGACGAAAAGCUCUGACCUAACACGUCAGAGUCUGACGGUACCGGGUGAGGAAGCCCCGGCUAACUCUGUGCCAGCAGCCGCGGUAAUACAGAGGGGGCAAGCGUUGUUCGGAAUUACUGGGCGUAAAGGGCGCGUAGGCGGCGUGCUAAGUCGAACGUGAAAUCCCCGGGCUCAACCCGGGAACUGCGUCCGAGACUGGCAUGCUUGAAUCCGGGAGAGGGAUGUGGAAUUCCAGGUGUAGCGGUGAAAUGCGUAGAUAUCUGGAGGAACAUCGGUGGCGAAGGCGGCAUCCUGGACCGGUAUUGACGCUGAGGCGCGAAAGCCAGGGGAGCAAACGGGAUUAGAUACCCCGGUAGUCCUGGCCCUAAACGAUGAAUGCUUGGUGUGGCGGGUAUCGAU
rnacentral:rRNA from 1 species